rnacentral:sRNA from 1 species
CGAGCGACGCGAGAGAACGUUGCGUCAGCAACGGCCCGCAGGGCAAGCCACGCAGUGGCGAGUCAUCCUCUCCUGGCCUGCU